UAACGAAUCUUCCGCAAUGGGCGAAAGCCUGACGGAGCGACGCCGCGUGUAGGAGGAAGUCCUUCGGGAUGUAAACUACUUUUAGGGGAACGAAAAUAGAGCGGGCUAAUACCUCGUGAAUUGAUCUACCCCAGAAAAAGCCUCGGCUAACUCUGUGCCAGCAGCCGCGGUAAGACAGAGGAGGCAAGCGUUGUUCGGAAUCACUGGGCUUAAAGCGCGUGUAGGCGGCUCGAUAAGUGUCUUGUGAAAUCCCUCGGCUCAACCGGGGAAUGGCUGGGCAUACUGUCGGGCUUGAGGCAGGUAGGGGUCACUGGAACUCUAGGUGGAGCGGUGAAAUGCGUAGAUAUCUAGAGGAACGCCCGGGGCGAAAGCGGGUGACUGGGCCUGUCCUGACGCUGAGACGCGAAAGCGUGGGGAGCAAACGGGAUUAGAUACCCCCGUAGUCC
rnacentral:rRNA from 1 species